rnacentral:lncRNA from 1 species
AUUCUUAAGAAAUAAUACAGAGGUCCCUUGUAUCCUUUACCCAGUUUCCCCCAAUGGUAACAUUUUGCAAAACUGUAGUAUAACAUCACCACAGGACACUACAUUGAUACAGUCCACAGGCUCCUUCCUGUUGCUGACUUAUAUUCACUCCCACCUCCCUCUUGCCAAAAUUACAAAUUUACCUCUCCCACUACGUUUAACCCUGGCAACCAACAGUGUGUUCAUUUCCCUGAUUUUGGUGUAUCAAAAAUGCCAGGUAGGUGUUGAGAGCCACAGCUGAGUUGGGAUGGCGCCUGGCAUUUUGCCAGAAGAAUGGUUGAGAGGUGACAGCGAGCCAUUAAGAUGAUAAUUAAGUUAAGCUGUGUAUAAUUGCUGUGACUGGAUGAUGCUGGAUUGAAACAGGCUGUGUAUUCAGUUGUAUAUAGACCCCUGCUGUCCAGCAAUAGGGUGGCUCCUGCUACUUUUGAGAGCUGGGAGAGUUCCCAGGGAGUGCGUGUGGAGUGCUGGUGGAGUUCAGGCAAUAAAGUAGUUCCUGUUUGAACCUACAAGUGCCUCGUGGUGGCUCGGUUAUUUUGUGCCCAGCCAGACUGCGGCAGGUAGGGCUGGAGGUUGUGGCUCAGGGGUAGAGUGCUUAUCUUGCAUGAAGGGGACCCUGGGGUCUUGCAUAUGUGGGACCCUGGGUUCCAUCUUCAGUACUGCAUAAAUAAAUGAAAUAAAGGUAUUGUGUCCAUUUACAACUUAAAAAAAAAAAAAGGCUUUAAAAAAAUGCCAAGUAAAGGAAUCAUACAAUAUAUAGUCUUGGGAAUUGGCUAUUGGCUUUUCCAGUUAGCAUAGUUCCCUGGAGAUUCAUCCAGGUGGUUUUGUGUUAUCAGUAGUUCAUUUCUUUUUCUGACAUCCAGGCUAUGAAUGUAUCAUAGUUGAUUUAAGUAUUCAUCCACCAAAGGACAUCUGGGCUGUUUCCACCCUUUAGCUGUUAACAAUGGUUAUUACAAAUAAUUCUUCUAUAAACAUUCAUGUACAGGUUUCUAUGUGAAUAUAAAGUUUUCAUUUCUCUGAAGUAAAUACCCAGUAAUACAGUUGCUAUGUCAUAGUUUAGUGGCUGAGUACUUAGUUCUGUAAGAAAUGGCUAACCCACGCUUACCUAGCAUGUGUGAGGCACUGAGUUUGAUCUUCAGCACCACAUAUAAAUAAAUAAAAUAAAAUGUUGUGCUCAUCUACAACUAAAAAGACAUAUUUUUUAAAAAUGGCAGGUGGUACACACCUGUAAUUUUAGCUACUCA